rnacentral:rRNA from 1 species
AGAGUUUGAUCCUGGCUCAGGACGAACGCUGGCGGCGUGCUUAACACAUGCAAGUCGAACGAUGAUCCGGUGCUUGCACCGGGGAUUAGUGGCGAACGGGUGAGUAACACGUGAGUAACCUGCCCUUGACUCUGGGAUAAGCCUGGGAAACCGGGUCUAAUACCGGAUAUGACCUGUCACCGCAUGGUGGCGGGUGGAAAGAUUUUUUGGUCUUGGAUGGACUCGCGGCCUAUCAGCUUGUUGGUGGGGUAAUGGCCUACCAAGGCGACGACGGGUAGCCGGCCUGAGAGGGUGACCGGCCACACUGGGACUGAGACACGGCCCAGACUCCUACGGGAGGCAGCAGUGGGGAAUAUUGCACAAUGGGCGAAAGCCUGAUGCAGCGACGCCGCGUGAGGGAUGAAUGCCUUCGGGUUGUAAACCUCUUUCAGCAGGGAAGAAGCGAAAGUGACGGUACCUGCAGAAGAAGCGCCGGCUAACUACGUGCCAGCAGCCGCGGUAAUACGUAGGGCGCAAGCGUUGUCCGGAAUUAUUGGGCGUAAAGAGCUCGUAGGCGGUUUGUCGCGUCUGCUGUGAAAGCCCGGGGCUCAACCCCGGGUCUGCAGUGGGUACGGGCAGACUAGAGUGCAGUAGGGGAGACUGGAAUUCCUGGUGUAGCGGUGAAAUGCGCAGAUAUCA